GGAGGAAUGGCUCAGUGGUUAAGAGCACUGGCUGCUCCUCAGAGGUACUGGGCUCAAUUCCCAGCACCUACA
rnacentral:tRNA from 1 species